AGUCGAACGAGAAAGUGGAGCAAUCCAUGAGUAAAGUGGCGUACGGGUGAGUAACACGUGGAUAAUCUGCCCUGAAGUGGGGAAUAACAAUGGGAAACCGUUGCUAAUACCGCAUAUACCCGAGAGGGGAAAGCAGCAAUGCGCUUUAGGAGGAGUCCGCGGCCGAUUAGCUAGUUGGUAGGGUAAUGGCCUACCAAGGCAACGAUCGGUAGCCGGCCUGAGAGGGCACACGGCCACACUGGCACUGAAACACGGGCCAGACUCCUACGGGAGGCAGCAGUGGGGAAUCUUGCACAAUGGGGGCAACCCUGAUGCAACGACGCCGCGUGAGCGAUGAAGCCCUUCGGGGUGUAAAGCUCUUUCGGCAGGGAAGAUCAUGACGGUACCUGCAGAAGCAGCUGCGGCUAACUACGUGCCAGCAGCCGCGGUAAUACGUAGGCAGCAAGCGUUGUUCGGAGUUACUGGGCGUAAAGGGUGUGUAGGCGGCUUUCUAAGUUUGUUGUGAAAUCUCCCGGCUUAACCGGGAGGGUGCGGCGAAGACUGGAAGGCUAGAGUAUGGGAUGGGAGAGUGGAAUUCCUGGUGUAGCGGUGAAAUGCGUAGAUAUCAGGAGGAACACCUGCGGUGUAGACGGCUCUCUGGACCAUUACUGACGCUGA
rnacentral:rRNA from 1 species